rnacentral:rRNA from 1 species
UACAGAGGUGGCAAGCGUUGUUCGGAAUUACUGGGCGUAAAGGGCGCGUAGGCGGUCGGGCAAGUCCUGUGUGAAAUCCCUCGGCUCAACUGAGGAACUGCACGGGAAACUGCUCGACUUGAGUUCGGGAGAGGGAAGCGGAAUUCCGGGUGUAGCGGUGAAAUGCGUAGAUAUCCGGAGGAAUACCGGUGGCGAAGGCGGCAUCCUGGACCAUAACUGACGCUGAGGCGCGAAAGCUAGGGGAGCAAACGGG